GUCUCAAAAGAUGUAACCGUUGGUUCCAAUUCGUAGCUUGUUGGCUCCUCCACAAGUAUCCCACUGUCUCGUCCCCCACGCCAGUGAGUACCUAACGCCCAGUCCGUCCCUAAUUUUAUUAGUAGGACAGCCUUACUGGUGGCGAUCCCAGCUGUCUGAAUAAAAAAAAUAUAUAAUCGAUUAGGUCAUUUAUUUAAUUAGCACCUGUUAUGCUCAUUCCCACCCCCACUACUGACCGUGGGUAAGCUAAUACGCCCACCCGUUACGAGAUGGGGAGGCGUAGUUAAUACCCUGCGCAUGAUCGUACCAACCGUUGCGAAGUCGAGUGAUGACAACUGUCAAUCUUCGGCUAAACACGAACGGACGGAAGAAUCAUAGAUAAAAAGUACGGUAGCAACGGGUCUGUCUUCUUUUCCGGUCGGACUACUGAAGGCAGUAGUAGUGCGCGCCGAUUCAGUGAAGUUAAUUCUAAAAGUAAAAUAAAAAUCGAAGUGUAAUAGUAAUAGUACAGAAAAGGUCCGUGACGAUUUGCGGGCCUUUUCUUUUUGUGUGUGUUUUUCGGACGGUUUCUAGA